rnacentral:rRNA from 1 species
CAGCCGCCGCGGUAAUACGAAGGGGGCUAGCGUUGCUCGGAAUCACUGGGCGUAAAGGGUGCGUAGGCGGGUCUUUAAGUCAGGGGUGAAAUCCUGGAGCUCAACUCCAGAACUGCCUUUGAUACUGAAGAUCUUGGGUUCGGGAGAGGUGAGUGGAACUGCGAGUGUAGAGGUGAAAUUCGUAGAUAUUCGCAAGAACACCAGUGGCGAAGGCGGCUCACUGGCCCGAUACUGACGCUGAGGCACGAAAGCGUGGGGAGCAAACAGGAUUAGAUACCCGUGUAGUCCCUGUCUCUUAUAU